rnacentral:rRNA from 1 species
ACUAUGGCCAUGCCACCCCGAAUGUGCCUGAUCUCAUCUGAUCUCAGAAGCUAAGCAGGCUCAGGUCUGGUUAGUACUUGGAUGGGAGACCACCUAGUAAUACCAGGCGAUAAAAGCA